AGUUUGAUCCUGGCUCAGAUUGAACGCUGGCGGCAUGCCUUACACAUGCAAGUCGAACGGCAGCACGGGAGCAAUCCUGGUGGCGAGUGGCGAACGGGUGAGUAAUAUAUCGGAACGUGCCCAGUCGUGGGGGAUAACGCAGCGAAAGCUGUGCUAAUACCGCAUACGAUCUACGGAUGAAAGCGGGGGAUCGCAAGACCUCGCGCGAUUGGAGCGGCCGAUAUCAGAUUUGCUAGUUGGUGGGGUAAAGGCCCACCAAGGCGACGAUCUGUAGCUGGUCUGAGAGGACGACCAGCCACACUGGAACUGAGACACGGUCCAGACUCCUACGGGAGGCAGCAGUGGGGAAUUUUGGACAAUGGGCGCAAGCCUGAUCCAGCAAUGCCGCGUGCAGGAUGAAGGCCUUCGGGUUGUAAACUGCUUUUGUACGGAACGAAACGGCUUCUUCUAAUAAAGGAGGCUAAUGACGGUACCGUAAGAAUAAGCACCGGCUAACUACGUGCCAGCAGCCGCGGUAAUACGUAGGGUGCGAGCGUUAAUCGGAAUUACUGGGCGUAAAGCGUGCGCAGGCGGUUAUAUAAGACAGAUGUGAAAUCCCCGGGCUCAACCUGGGACCUGCAUUUGUGACUGUAUAGCUAGAGUACGGUAG
rnacentral:rRNA from 1 species